GCUCGGUCGACGGCCGCCCCACGAGCUUGGCGGAGCUCGGGUACGACUACGUGAGCAUGGACGACGGCUGGCAGCGCU
rnacentral:rRNA from 1 species